AUUUUACUUGAUCAUUUUGCAUGUUUCUGUGGCAGGCAUCAAUGUUAUGGCAGAAGUAGAUGUCCCUGGUCAUGCAAAAUCAUGGGGCACUGGAUAUCCUAAUCUUUGGCCUUCCACUUCCUGCAAAGAGCCACUUGAUGUAUCAAAGAGUUCAACUUUCAAUGUGGUUUCUGGAAUUCUGACAGAUAUGAGAAAGAUUUUUCCCUUUGAGCUAUUCCACUUGGGCGGUGAUGAAGUUAAUACAA